rnacentral:tRNA from 1 species
GUUGCGGUAGUGUAAUUGGUUAACACUUGAACAGGAAGAAUUCAAAUCCUGGUUCAAAUCCAGGCCGCGACA